rnacentral:lncRNA from 1 species
GCCGCCGCCCCGCGCGGCGCCGCCGCACCUCCGGGCCGCUCCACUAGAAAACGCCUCUUCUCUCAGACACAUCGUUAUCUGCCAAUUCUUCGCAGACGUAGAGAACGGACUGCAGAGUUAAUAAACGUCGAGGGGAAGCUUUGAUGCGCCCCAUUUGGCCCUGAGAGAUGCCACGUGAUCGUCAUUUUAAAUCCUGUACGUGUCCCCGUGGACGUGGAAACCUGAAAUUAAUUUCAGUAGCAAGCUUUGUGAAUUGUAGGGAUUUUUUUUCAUAAGGUGUCUUUUUUGUAAUUGCCCCUCCCCUCCCCCACCCUUUGUUUUGGCUGCAGAGCGCCAUCUCUGCAGUCUCCCCACGCCGGGUUCAGUCAGGCGAAGUUGCGUUAUCUGUGAUGUGUUGUAACAAAAAGCGUUUAUCUUUGAAACACUAAGGCAAGUAAUGAGAAGAGUGAACUAUAUUUGACAAAGCCUUUUUAUUUUUGUCAUUACUUUUUUUUCCAAUGUGGAAAUAAUUUUUCUCUCCACCAACUGGAUUUCCUCUUUUGCAGACAAUUAAAGAAUUCUGUCAUCCCCA